rnacentral:rRNA from 1 species
GACGAACGCUGNGCGGCGUGCUUAACACAUGCAAGUCGAACGAGAAUCACUGGAAGGAGUUUUCGGACAACGGAAGGUGAGGACAGUGGCGGACGGGUGAGUAACGCGUGAGGAACCUGCCUUUCAGAGGGGGACAACAGUUGGAAACGACUGCUAAUACCGCAUGACACAUAGAGAUCGCAUGGUUUUUAUGUCAAAGAUUUAUCGCUGAAAGAUGGCCUCGCGUCUGAUUAGCUAGUUGGUGAGGUAACGGCCCACCAAGGCGACGAUCAGUAGCCGGACUGAGAGGUUGACCGGCCACAUUGGGACUGAGAUACGGCCCAGACUCCUACGGGAGGCAGCAGUGGGGAAUAUUGGGCAAUGGGCGCAAGCCUGACCCAGCAACGCCGCGUGAAGGAAGAAGGCUUUCGGGUUGUAAACUUCUUUUGUCGGGGACGAGUAGAAGACGGUACCUGGCGAAUAAGCCACGGCUAACUACGUGCCAGCAGCCGCGGUAAUACGUAGGUGGCAAGCGUUGUCCGGAUUUACUGGGUGUAAAGGGCGUGUAGCCGGGAAGGCAAGUCAGAUGUGAAAUCCACGGGCUUAACUCGUGAACUGCAUUUGAAACUACUUUUCUUGAGUAUCGGAGAGGCAAUCGGAAUUCCUAGUGUAGCGGUGAAAUGCGUAGAUAUUAGGAGGAACACCAGUGGCGAAGGCGGAUUGCUGGACGACAACUGACGGUGAGGCGCGAAAGCGUGGGGAGCAAACAGG